rnacentral:rRNA from 1 species
AUGUCAUUUGAAAUGGGGCGGCUGAAGCUGAUUUGCGAGGAGAAGCUAUGCGAGUACAUCCACAUCGGCACGGCGGCGAACAUUUUGGCACUGGUCGAGCAACACUGCUGUGAGGGCCUAAAGAAGGCAUGCUUCGAUUUUUUCGCUGCUCCAGAAAAUUUGAAGGCCGUCGCAGUCACUCACAGCUUCCAGCAUCUGAGCGUGAGUUGCCCUUCUCUUAUGGUCGAGCUCGUGGCCAUGUUCCCCGUGCAUUAG